rfam:Neolentinus lepideus HHB14362 ss-1 unplaced genomic scaffold NEOLEscaffold_55, whole genome shotgun sequence.
GGCAAGAUGGCCGAGCGGUCCAAGGCGCUAGCUUCAGGUUAUUUGUGUUUAUCGACGGUGGCCAAUUUGCUAGUCUCUUCGGGGGCGUGGGUUCGAAUCCCACUCUUGUCA